rnacentral:siRNA from 1 species
UGGGUCUGAUUGGUAACCAA